rnacentral:piRNA from 1 species
UGGUACUUCAUUAGCUGCCCAAAGUGUUGGU